CCCCUCUCAGGAUUGCCCUGGAGAAUUUCCGGUACUCUACCAGUCUCGGCUAUGGGAGGGAGAGUCCAGGAGAGGUCUACCCAUCCCAUUCCUAGCUUGGGCAGUGGCUAGCGAGUGGAAGGCAAUCUGCUACAAGU